AUAAAGUCUCUCCGAUAUCUACAGAUAACUUCAGCCGUGAGUUUCGGUGUUUGUGUGUGUUUUCUUCCUCCACCUGUCCAGGGGACUUCCUCUGCGUAUCGAAAGUGAAAGAAGUUUGCAGGAGUCGCCUCGCACAGUCAGACUGAGAAGCUGGUUUCCAUGACACCCAAACACAGCAGCCGUUCACCGGUCACCUCUGGCUGGAUCCACAUGUCUGGAAACAAGUUUGAUAAUCUGAAAAUGUCUGCACUCUCGUUUGGAGGACAUCAGCAUGAAUCAUGACCUUGUAAAAAUGCUUUCUGCGAAACUAGACAGCCUUACCUUCUCCGAUUACUAUGGUCUGCAGAGUCCGGGCCUGACAUGCUAUUUGAACAGCGUGCUCCAGGUGCUGUACAUGACCCAAGACUUCCGGGAGGCUGUGGAACGGUUUGAGCAAUGCCGCAGUGAAGAUUCAACCACCAUCGACCAACAUCUGGCAAGACUGUUUGCUGAUUUACAGAAAAGCAAGGCCAGAACACAUGAUGUCACUGCAAAACUGGGGAUCACGAACGUAUAUGAGCAACGUGAUGCCGCCGAGUAUUUUGAGAAGAUCCUGAGUCUGAGCAAUCCGGAGGCAUCCAAGAUAUUCAGGGGAGAGCUGAACCAUAAGACCACCUGCCUCAGGUGCAAGCAGAGGAGCGAGUCCAGGACCUUUUUUUGGAUCCUGCCGCUUGCGAUGGGAGACUCGUGGUGUCAAACGUACAGCGUGGAGAAAGGGCUGAAGGCAUUCUUCAAGAGAGAAAAGGUCUGCAGGGACAACAAGAUUUACUGUGAACUGUGCAAUAAAAAGCGAGACACGGAAUUUGCAUGUGAGAUGACACAAAGUCCAGAGGUUUUGACCCUCCUGCUGAAGAGGUUCAGGUUUGACUACAAGCAUGAGUGUUACGUCAAGCUUCACUGCGAUGUGGACGUCCCCCAGACUUUGCACAUGGAGGGCUGCAAAUACAACCUCUACGCCUUAGUCCACCACUUUGGUAGCCUAACAGGCGGUCAUUAUACUGCACAAAUCAAAUCUUACGACACUCAGGAGUGGUAUCACUUCAAUGAUGACAUUGUGAAGAGGGUCAGUCCACCACUGUUUAGCGCUGGAGCCAAGCAUCUGAGGUCUUUUACAGCUUACCUCCUCAUGUACAGAAAGGAAAAGCGCUGUGACGAUACCACUUGGGUGAAACGGUCAAACUGUUCCGGGGAACUGGGAAAACAUAAAAGCCAGAGAGCUGCGUGUGUGAAGCCACCCAAAAGGACGUUGUUUCAGUCAGGCUCUGCAGCAGAUGGAGACAGUCACAAACCAAACUUGCAAACACAAAAGUCAAAGUCUGCAAAGCUUCGAGAAGAUGGGGGACAAAAAAGUCACAAGGCUCACAGACAUUGGCUCGAUACAAACCCAGAGGAGCACAUGAGGCAUCUUAACACUAGAGGGACCCCAAGAGAUGGGAUGAUAACACAAACCCAUGAAUCCCAACAGAAAAGACUGAAGAACCAUAUUUUUGCAAAGGAGGCAGAAGUAAGAAUGGAAGGAAAGAGUAAAGAGGCUUGUGUCAGUGAAAAGCUGAAUCAUUCUGAUGUGAAGUCAUGUCAUGUUUCCUCCAACGGCUCCUCUCCUUCUUCACUUCCAUGCUUCACAAAUGGGUCUGACCAUUCGCCAGACCUCCGCAGAAAGUCAAAGAGUUCAAAGAGAGACAAGAAGAAAACACAGUCUGUUGUGACAGCACACGGUAGCUGCAAACUGGACGCUGUGACAAAAGGACAAAAAACUGCAAGUCCCGCACAGACAAGAAAUGCUCCAAAGAGCACGAACAAAGUCAGAAGAGGUCCAUGGAGGUGAUGGAACAUUAAGGAUAAUAUCGAUAUCUUCAGGUGAAGAGGUGGUUUGAAAUGUUUCUUUGUUUGUUUGUUUGUUUUGUUUGUACCUUUUAAAUGUGACUCAUGUUGAAAUCAUGCAAACCGAAUUGUUGAAUCACAUACAGUACAUCUUCUGUGAAAUGUAUGAUUGGCAAUAAAAAGUACAAAUUAGACAGUCAAUCAGUCGACUGUGAGGGACAAACUCUUGAGCGUGUGUUCAUAGAUUGAAAAGACAAGUGAAAACAUAACACAAGUGGCAAAACUAUUUGACUGAUCAUUUCAGAUUUACCCCAGUUGUUUUGCAGACUCCAAGGCUUUUGUUGUGUUAUUAUUAUUUCCUGGUAUUUUGUUGUACAAUUUAACUUAUUUUCAUUUAUUUGUUGUUUUGUUGUGAAGGAGUGCAGCUUUUAUAAUGGAAAGAAUUACACUAUUGAUACUGAGUGAGCUUUUAAUUAACAUCUGAUAAAUGCGUCGUAGACUAUUAAACAUGAAGAUGGCAUAAUAGUUAUUUUACUGAGAGAAUAAUUAUAAUAAAAUCACUGGGACUUGAGCCUUUUGAGUGGAAAAUACCUGAUACCUGAUGAAACAUCUACCUAAUUUUUUGAGCUGUCCAACAAACAGAAAAUGUGUUUUUUGUAUGGACAUUCUGCAUUCAUGCAAACAGAAGCUUUAUCAAGUUAUGCGGUUAUUAGUUAUUGAGCAGAGAUCAAUUCGAGAGAAGGAAGCAUCGAUGGCAACGUUAAAAACAUCAUGAGAAAAUCCAGCAGAAAGCCUCCAUGGUCACAACAUGUAAGAACAAGGCGUCUGUAGGCCGACACUUUUGGCUUCACUCCGUGAUGCUGCUGAGUAUUUUUGAGAAGAUCAUGUGUCUGACCUGUGAAGGUGAUGUGUCACAACUCCUAACCAACUUAAACAAACAUCACAAACAAGUGUGAAACGAGUUAGAGACAAGCCAUUACAGUUCUUCACGUUUCCUAUGUAUAUUAGGCUACAUGUAUGUUCUUGAAGUAGGCCUACUAUAGCUUUCUUAAAUUUGUACACGAAUUCAGCACUUGAGAAAAUUAAUUUAGUAACCUUCCACCACUAAUAAGGAUCAACAGGUUUUCGAUUAACUGAUCAUUUCAGAUUUACUACCGAGUUCGCGGUGCAUUCAGGUGCGCCUCAUAAACAGACCGUCGCCGACAGGGCACACUGCAGUAAGACAUACCGGUUGACUUGAGACUUAAGUCGAGACUUGUCUGAGCAAAUUAAUGACAAUUAUAACAGGAGACAAACGAGAGUGAAAAUUUGGGCGAGUAAGAGCUGCGUAAGGCAAAACACUGGCGUAUGUUUCUUUAAAUUUCAAAACGACACGGAAGUAUUUUUUGGUUCAUCUUCUUCCUGCUUGUUGAACACUACCGCUGGAGAACAUCAGGAGAAAUGGUUAUACGAGUUCUGGUUCCGUGGUUCGAUGGAAAAACGCUUCAUUUCGACCUGUGCGACAUCACGGGGGAGUUUCAGAGGUUCACUGUGCUGCAGCUGAAGCAGAAGAUAAGAGAUCGCACUGGAUACAGAGAAGAUCAGGUCAGACUGAUCUUCCUGAACAACCAGCUGGAGGAUGACCGUCUUCUGUCUGAGUAUGGAAUUGGACACUUGUCCCUCAUUCAUGUUAAGUUAAGUGGAGGAGGAAGCAUAUCUGGAGAUGAUGGAAUGGGCGACAAGGAGGGCAAUAACAGAAGUAUGGAAAAGCUCGCUGGGUUUUAAAACCGACCCUGAAGUUCCACUCUGGUAAGCCCUUUAAUCUGUAGUGAGAAAUCACCUGGAAAAGAAGUCGGGCACCACAAUAAAAUCAACCAGCGGUGUUCAAGCCACCUUCUCAAACCUAAUGCUGAAGAGUUUCUGCCAGACAUGAGAAGAAGCCACACAGAUGAACAGCCAAAAUGUUCUCAACGUCACCUUGAAGAGGUUUGCCUCAAGAGUCAAGUUAACAAAGUUGUUAAACAAAGACUUCCAUAUUCAUUUCCACUACACAAAGAUUUUCUUCCCACUAAAAACUGAGCAGCUGCAUCUAACUACUCAGCCCCCUUCACACUAGCCAAAAAUGUUUGCCUUGUGUAUGAAUUUUAAAAAUAUUUUGUGAAGGUGAUCACAAAAUGAUGUCUGAGUUAUAUUUUGUUUUAUAAUGACUGACCCUUUGCUUUGUUUACAUUAAGAAGAUUUUCCAAUUUUUAUGGAAUUUUUUAAUGUGAUCUCAUGGACUCAUAAAAUGUAGGAAAUAAAUUAAAAUGUGUCAUUAUGUAUGUAGCCUACGCCAAAUGGUCUAUUUUUUAACCUGUAAAAGAAAUAUUUGUAUUUUUGAUUUUGUAAUCUAAGUUUUCCAAAUGUGUUGCUUAUUAAACUACUUUUCCAGUCUUUUCAGCAGUUUGGUAUUGUUUUGGACUUGACCGGUAGAUAGUGCUACAGCUCUUUGUGCAGGUCACACAAGUUUCAUCUCACACUAAGCUGCUUGAAUGUAUGUGAAAUAUCUACUUGACAUUUUUUAUAGCGUAUGAGAAUAAACGUUACUUGUUUUGGUGUGAAUGAACUGUUGAUCAAACAGAAAAUGUAUUCACAGGCAUCCAUCCAAAUCACAUCCAACAGACAUUAUGCACUCAGGUAACUGAAGCUUUAUUAUGAUGAUGGUGCUGAGUAGAGAUCAGUUUGAGGGAAAGAAUCACUCGUGGCAACGUUAAAAACAAUAUGAGAAUGUAUAGCAGAUAUCUUCUGUGGUCAUCGCAUGCAUGAACGAAUGUCUAUUAUCUCAUGAAAUCCAACAGGAAAGUAUUGCAUGACAGAAGACGGCUGCGAGCUACAUAAUGGAAAGUGAUUGCGUUUGCAGAGCCCAUCUUCUGUGCCACACGGGUAUGGAGGUCUGUCUGGGAGCCACACCAUCACUGCAAGGGUUGAAGUAAGAGCUCGUCUUCAGGCACUCGGCUGUGAGCUUCAGACACACGAAGCAGAACUGGACCUGGCAGCGAGAACACCUGAUGUUCUUGCAGCCAGUUUUGUCAUGCUCCACCAUCUGACCACAGGUUGGACAGGCUCGGAUGGAAGGACAAGCCUUGACCCCCUUCACCUGACGGAGGGCGGUGGUCUUGCAGUUCUUGAGAAGCUCCAGGUCGUAGUUGACGCAGCCGUCGUUGUCGCAGCGGUCGGAGCGAGGAGCAGGACCUUUCCAUGGCUUCAGACACUGCCAGCAGAACUGGUAGGCCUUCUUCUUGUAAACUGUGCAGAUUGUGCACUGCGCGUUGAGGUUGGUCAGGUCCACUCUCCCCAAAAAGGUAUUGCACCCAGGACACUAUUGGACAAGAUGUGAGAAACAUUAAAGGAACUGUUCAACAUUUGUAGAAAUACACUAAUAGCUGUCAGAUCUGUGUGGUAAAGAGGAGACUGCUGAGCUUUAGUUUACCGAGUCAUUGACCUAAGCUGCUGCCUUGAGCUAAAUAUACACCAUACAAACACAAGAGUGGAAUCAAUCUUCUCGUCUACUUCCAUUUCCAUUAGCUACAUGAAUGGUGGAAGUUGAUAAAAAAUGCUGCUGAACUCAUAAUUAGACCACUGUGAAACUCUUUGAAACUGGACACUCACUGCUUUGACUUCACAGUACUGUGUGGCAGCCAUACAUGCGGUGUUCUCUUCAAGAUACUGCAUCUCUUCAGGCGUUCAGACACCGAGUCACACUUUUACAAGGUCACCGUCGCUGCAGGUGAACAAAAUGAAAUGAGACGCACGCACAUUCUUCAAUUGACUUAAUUAGGAUGACCAAAGCACACAUUACAGCAAUUAGGGCAUCAGACUAACGAACAUGAAGAGGACAAUGUUUUUUGCUUUUCAACAUAUUUUGGUGCUCACCUAGUGGAUCCAGAUCUUGCGGCCUGGUGACAAACUUUAAAGUCGUGUCUCGUAGGUCGAGUUUAUUCUUGUCUUUUCUCUCCUGACCCCAAGUAGAUGUUUUGUUUCGGGUUCUUCACUCUUCGUCGCCUGCCCUCUUCUCUGUCUGCAAUCAGGAAACAGUAUGUUGCCUUGUUCUUCUUCACUGAUACUGAAAUGUUUUGGUCUUGCUUUUGGUCCCUCAUGCUUUGCAAGAAGUCACAUGACUGUAGGGCAUUUCAGGUCUGAAUUCCCCCUCUGUGUCAUAUUUUGUUUCACUUUCAUUUUAUUUAGGGCCUGCUUUUAAACACAUAAAUACUGUGUUCAUUACCGUUUUUAAGUACUGUGACAGCAUGUGGCCUUAUUUGGAGGAACAGGUCCUAAUUGUGGUAAUUUUGCAGAAUUUGCAGAUUUAAAAAAACCUGCAAUUACAGGAACAUAUUAUUUAAUACUGUAUUAUAAUGUGGUUCACUCAGCCAUCAUUGGGGCGGCGGUCGCAGCGAGGAGCAGGGCCUUUCCACGGCCUCAGACACUGCCAGCAGAACGGGUAGGCCUUCUUCAUGUCUGCUGUGCACUGCCCGUUGAGGUUGGUCAGGUCCUCUCUCUCCACAUAGCUUUGCUUCCUGGACACUGUUGGAAAGGAUGUGAGAAAUAUUAAAGGAGUAAUUCAACAUUUUUGGGAAAUACACUCACUGGCUUUUAGGUUGGGGGUUAGAUAUGAAGACUGAUACCACUGGUGGAUCUGUAUGGCACACAGGAGCCAGCACAACCUCAGCAGCUUCGCAAAAAGACAGAAAGCAGAGGAAAACAGCUAGCCUGGCUAAAUAUAAACAUUUAAAAUCAGAAAUUUUUUUUCUCUCUCUUUUUUUCUGACUCCUUCUGUGCCUGACAGCUGGUUUGCAGGUGCUGAUGGUAGAUUUUGUUAGCUUUGGACAGAGCCAGACUAGCUGUUGCCUCCAUUUCCAGCCAAUGACCCGAGCUGCUGCCUUCAGCUAAAUAUGCACUAUGAAAGAGUGGAAUCAAUCUUCUCAUUUUCAAAUUUCAGUCAUUUCCAUUAUCUGCAUGAAUGCAGGAUGUUGUUCUAAAAACUGCUGCCAAACUUAUAAUUAGACCACUCUGGGACUUUUUGAAGGUGGGGACAACACUGGGACACUCACUUAUUUUGAAUCCAGGUUAUUCUAUGGCAGCCAUAGAUGUGAUGGUCUCUUUGAAACACUGCAUCAGCUGUCAGCACAACAAGCAUGCGCACCUCCUCAUAAGAUGUGUUUUCAGUUUCUCUUGGUUUCCUAAAAGUCACGUGAAUUCAUGAUGUGGCAGGUCUGGAUUCUCCCUCUGUAUCAUAUUUCAUUUUGUUUACUUACAUGCUGUCCGUGGCGCAUUAAUGCCGCAGCAUGUGACCUCAUUUGUGAAGAAAAGACAUUAAUUGCAGUAAUCUUUUUCACUGUGUUGUUUUGGAUUUGCAGAUAAAAACAAUAACAAUAAUAACUACAACAUAUUAUUUAAUAUUAUAAUAACGUUUGUGAAAAUUGUCGGCACUAUUAUAAUAUUGCAUAUUAUCCUAUUAAAUGGUUUCACAGCAUUUCCUUAUGUAACAAACAGAAUGUGGAGCAGCUUGUAAAAACACUGCUGGAGUGUAAGGUGAUUUCCAGCUGUCUUUACAGCACAGGGUAAUGUUCACUCAGGGGUUUUUUGUUUUGGUUUUGUUUUGGGUUUUUUUUUCCGCACUGAAGCUUUUAAAAGGCAGAACCAUCGUGAAGUCUCUGAGUGCAGUCGGUGAAAGACAAACGUGAAAGCCAUCUCAGCUCCUCUCUCAGGUCUCAGAAUGUGCCCAAACGACACCCUGAUGGACUAUGGCUUCCCAGCUGAGCCCAGAACAGCGCACAAAAUCGGCAGUAUGCAACAGGUCGUGGUUCAUGGAGCGAUGGGGGACGUCAUGACCGUCAACCUGGGCAACACAAAGGAGCAGAUCCAGGGGUUUACAGUGGGGCACCUGAAAGAAAAGAUCUUGGAGAGCUCUCCCAAGUGCAUGGGAAAGGACGAUAUUCGGUUGAUCUUCACAGACAAGAUGCUGGAAAAAGAUUCCGAUCGUCUCUCCAAAUACGGAAUCCGGGACAAGUCCGUCAUCCGCACGAUAAUGAGGCUUAGUGGAGGACUGAGCUCUUAACAUGAAACCGUUUCCUGCUGCUGUUGCCUCCACCCUGCUGCUUCUGACUGCUUCAUACAACAGCUCACUAUUACAUGAUAGGCUCUGGACAUCUUAAAAUGUGUCAUUAAGUAUGUAGGCCAAGGUCUCCAUUUGUAAUCUCAAUUUUGUAAUUUUUUCUGACUUUGUUGCACAUUAAACCACUUCAACUGCUCAAGA